rfam:Eubacterium sp. CAG:38 genomic scaffold, scf134
GGCUAAUUGGUCAAGUGGUCAAGACGUCGCCCUCUCACGGCGAAGACAGGGGUUCGACUCCCCUAUUAGCUA